GAUGAACGCUGGCGGCGUGCCUAAUACAUGCAAGUCGAGCGAACAGACGAGGAGCUUGCUCCUCUGACGUUAGCGGCGGACGGGUGAGUAACACGUGUAUACCCUACCUAUAAGACUGGUAUAACUUCGGGAAACCGGAGCUAAUACCGGAUAAUAUAUUGAACCGCAUGGUUCAAUAGUGAAAGACGGUUUUGCUGUCACUUAUAGAUGGAUCCGCGCCGCAUUAGCUAGUUGGUAAGGUAACGGCUUACCAAGGCAACGAUGCGUAGCCGACCGGAGAGGGUGAUCGGCCACCCUGGAAGUGAGACGGCGACCAUAGUCCUAAGGGAGGCAGCAGUAGGGAAUGGUACGCAAUGGGCGAAAGCCUGACGGAGCAACGCCGCGUGAGUGAUGAAGGCCUUCGGAGCGUAAAACUCUGUUAUUAGGGAAGAACAAAUGUGUAAGUAACUAUGCACGUCUUGACGGUACCGAAUCAGAAAGCCACGGCUAACUACGUG
rnacentral:rRNA from 1 species